rnacentral:rRNA from 1 species
UACGUAGGGAGCAAGCGUUAUCCGGAAUCAUUGGGCGUAAAGAGCGUGUAGGCGGCCAGGUAGGUCUGGUGUGAAAACUCGAGGCUUAACCUCGAGAUGUCAUCGGAAACCAUCUGGCUAGAGUCCGGAAGAGGAGAGUGGAAUUCCUGGUGUAGCGGUGAAAUGCGCAGAUAUCAGGAAGAACACCAAUGGCGAAAGCAGCUCUCUGGGACGGUACUGACGCUGAGACGCGAAAGCGUGGGGAGCGAACAGG